rnacentral:rRNA from 1 species
GACGAACGCUGGCGGCGUGCCUAACACAUGCAAGUCGAACGGGGGUAUUUAUUUCGAUGAAUACCUUAGUGGCGAACGGGUGAGUAACGCGUGAGCAACCUAUCCUUAAGAGGGGGAUAACAUCUGGAAACAGAUGCUAAUACCGCAUAAGACCACACUGCCGCAUGGCAUAGGGGUCAAAGGAGCAAUCCGUUUAAGGAGGGGCUCGCGUCCCAUUAGAGAGUUGGUGAGGUAACAGCUAACCAAGUCAGCGAUGGGUAGCCGAGCUGAGAGGCUGAUCGGCCACACUGGAACUGAGACACGGUCCAGACUCCUACGGGAGGCAGCAGUGGGGAAUAUUGGGCAAUGGGGGGAACCCUGACCCAGCAACGCCGCGUGAGGGAAGAAGGCCUUCGGGUUGUAAACCUCUGUCAUUAGGGAAGAAGAAAGUGACGGUACCUAAUGAGGAAGCCCCGGCUAACUACGUGCCAGCCGCCGCAGUAAAAC